AUUGAACGCUGGCGGCAGGCCUAACACAUGCAAGUCGAACGAGUGGCGGACGGGUGAGUAAUGGAUGGGAAACUGCCUGAUGGAGGGGGAUAACUACUGGAAACGGUAGAUAAUACCGCAUAACAUCAGAUGUGCCCAGAUGGGAUUAGCUAGUAGGUGGGGUAAAGGCUCACCUAGGCGACGAUCCAUAGCUGGUCUGCGAGGAUGACCAGCCCAACUAGAACUGAGACACGGUCCAGACUCCUACGGGAGGCAGCAGUGGGGAAUAUUGCACAAUGGGCGCAAGCCUGAUGCGGCCAUGCCGCGUGUAUGAAGAAGGUCUUCGGGUUGUAAAGUACUUUCAGCGGGGAGGCGUUACCCGCAGAAGAAGCACCGGCUAACUCCGUGCCAGCAGCCGCGGUAAUUC
rnacentral:rRNA from 1 species